GCCGCGGUGGUGGAAUGGCAGACACGCAUGGUUCAGGGCCAUGUGCCCGCAAGGGCAUGGGGGUUCAAGUCCCCCCCGCGGCA
rnacentral:tRNA from 1 species